ensembl:lncRNA
CUAAGAGCCAUUUCUAAAAUAUCAGCCAUUUAUUUCAAAUAUGAAUGACAGAUGAACGCCUGAUUUCCUUUAUGGAAUAAAUUUUGGAACUAGCAUGUACUUUUAAUGUAAGCUGUUUCAUCAAAACCUACAAUAUCAGUAGAAAGAAAUGAUUGUUGACUUUUUAUUUUCAUUUUUUGUAAUUAUUCUGAAUUUCAGAGCCUAAAGGCGCUGGAAUAGACGCCAGGAUCCCCUCCAACCCUACGAGCAGUUUGGAGAAGCUGGAUUUCAGAAUUUUGUUAGUAUAUCUAUGGUGCCCUUUUGCUGCAAUUAAAACAUGCAGUUGAGAUUGAGAAGACAUUCAUUUAUUAAUAGAUACAUGUUUUCAGUAGAAGUUUUAGCUAAUAUUCUGUAAGCCACAUACAGAAUGUUAAUCUUUUAUUUUCAGUUUAUUGCAGUGCACAUAACAGCACCAUGUGGCCUGGAGCAAACAAGCACAGUACUAACAACAGCCAACAGACCAGACAGCACAAUCCCAUCCUCUGUUCCAUUCAGCUGCUGAAGAGCCCACACAGCUCUUCCCCUGCUUUCUCUGCAAGCUCAGUUGAAUUGGAGAAGUCUGUACCAUCGUUUGGUUCUCCAGAUCCACAAACACAUUUCAGAUGACUUAAUUUUCAUGUUAUCAUCUUGGCUGCUGCAUAUUGGUUUCAUGAAUCUUGGUUUUAUGUAUAAGGAUAUUCAGGGAAAACUUGGAAUCCAGAAAAGAUGGCUGCAUUGUUCUGGGACUUGGAUGAUUCUACAACUCCUCCAAAGACACCAGCUCUACACUUACGGCAUACUAGCCCUUUGAGUUUCUAUGAUCAUUCACAUUGUAGUUCACCGAUGCAAGACAACUUAGAUUGGCCUUCAAGGGAGCAAGUGGAGUUCACAAGAUUAAACCCCUCCAGAAGUAAAGACAAGACAGAAGGAGAAUGGCAUAUGGUAACAGCCACUCGCUCAUUGCUUGGCAGGGAAAGAAGAGGCCAGAAGGAGGGUAUGCAGGACCAGCCGAGAGUGUCUUACAACAGCUUGCCAAGAGCGCAUUUUCUCCAGCCAAAUAGAGAAUCAAGUGCUUUUUCACCCUAUGCUAAUGACUUCUGCUUGAAUGGCAGAGAUGCCAAGAACAUUGCUGAGUCCCCCAGGAACAGUCGAAAGCUGCACCCGCUGACACAGCCAGGCUUCUACAGUCCAAAAAUCCCACGAUCAAAACACUGUGAAGCUGCACAGUCCACAAAAACGUCUUUAAAAGGAUCUUCUUCUACAAACAACUUGAAGGAGUUCUUUGCUCUCACGCUGCCUCUUCCGUGCUCCAAAACUGCUGUUCUCGAAACCAGCCCUUUGUGUUCCAGACCACAAAAAGUUAAAACGUUUGUGGUAGAAAAGCCUCCUUUGAUGAGAGCUGUGGUUUCUCAAACUUCAUCGACCUCAAAUAAACCUGACGAAAAGCACUUCAGCCAACUCGUGCCAAGAGAGCACCAUCUCAUCAAGAACCAGGACUGCAGUUUGUUCAGUCUGCAGGAACCCAAUAGGAAACCUCUUAGAAAUGACCAACCUAUCUGGAGCCAUCUGUUCCCUGAACGCCAGUCUAAAGCAGACCAGCCUGCAACGCUUUGUCCAAAAUUGGAAAAGGCAAGUCAUGAGAGAUCUACCUGGAGUGUUGACACUGAUAUUAAACUAUCUCAGGGUGACCCUGACUGGUCAUGUCAACUUCAAGCCAGCCCAGCUAAACGUGAUUGCAGCCCAAAACAAAAGAAGACACAGUACUCACAAAAUAGAGAAACCAGUGAUGUCAGGAACACUGAGGACAACCAUGUAAAAAGGUAAGCAGAUUUUAUAAUACUAUCUAAUAGUAUUGUGUAGUAGUGUUGCAAAUAGUAGUAGUAAUAAAAUGGAUUUAAAGGGACA